ACACUUUCAUAGCUUACUGACAUUCAUAACUCAUUAAUAAAUGGCUCACAGUCUGAGCCACCACCUAGCGGGCUGCGCUCAUGACAUAUAAUGCUGAUGCAUCACGGGUGACCUGAGUACGAGUCCCGGCUCAUGGGGUCCCUUCCCAAUCCCAUUCCUACUCUUCUCCCCUAUCGUUUCCUGUCACCUCUCCACCGUCCUCUCACUAAUAAAGCCACAAAAGGCCCAAACAAAAAUAAUAAUAAUAAUAAUGGCUCACAGGUGGUCACUUUACAUUAAGGUACAUUUUCAUAGCUUACUAACCUUCAUAACUCAUUAAUAAAUGGCUCACAGGUGGUCACUUUACAUUAAGGUACACUUUCAUAGCUUACUAACAUUCAUAACUCAUUAAUAAAUGGUUCACAUGUGGUCACUUUACAUUAAGGUACACUUUCAUAGCUUACUAACAUUCAUAACUCAUUAAUAAAUGGUUCACAUGUGGUCACUUUACAUUAAGGUACACUUUCAUAGCUUACUAACAUUCAUAACUCAUUAAUAAAUGGUUCACAGGUGGUCACUUUACAUUAAGGUACACUUUCAUAGCUUACUAACAUUCAUAACUCAUUAAUAAAUGGUUCACAUGUGGUCACUUUACAUUAAGGUACACUUUCAUAGCUUACUAACAUUCAUAACUCAUUAAUAAAUGGUUCACAUGUGGUCACUUUACAUUAAGGUACACUUUCAUAGCUUACUAACAUUCAUAACUCAUUAAUAAAUGGUUCACAUGUGGUCACUUUACAUUAAGGUACACUUUCAUAGCUUACUAACAU